UUUCAGUGAAAAUCAGGUAUUUUCCCAUAUUUAAUUCACUGAUCAAGUAGAUGUUCAUAAAAGCUCAGAGUAAAUUCAAAGGUUAUAUGAUCAAAUCAGAAACAAAUUUAGGAAAAAGUGACUUUUUCAACUAAAUAUAUAAUUAACAGAAUG